GACGAACGCUGGCGGCGUGCUUAACACAUGCAAGUCGAACGAGUGGCGAACGGGUGAGUAAUACGUGGGUAACCUGCCCUCUUUUUGGGAUAGGCCUUGGAAACGGGGUCUAAUACCGAAUAAAGGGGGAUGGGCUCGCGGCCUAUCAGCUUGUUGGUGGGGUGAUGGCCUACCAAGGCGGUGACGGGGCGCCGGCCUGAGAGGGCGACCGGCCACAUUGGGACGGGCAGACUGCCCAGGGGCGUACGAGAGGGAACAGUGGGGGAAAGGGCAGAAUGGGCGAAAGGCAGAUGCAGCGACGCGGCGUGGGGGUUGAAGGCUUACGGGUUGUAAGCCUCUGUCGCAAGCGAACGGGUAGUUGGAGAAGAAGCGCCGGCUAACUACGUGCCAGCAGCCGCGGUAAUAC
rnacentral:rRNA from 1 species